rnacentral:rRNA from 1 species
UACGUAGGGUGCAAGCGUUAAUCGGAAUUACUGGGCGUAAAGCGUGCGCAGGCGGUUCUAUAAGACAGAUGUGAAAUCCCCGGGCUCAACCUGGGAACUGCAUUUGUGACUGUAGAGCUGGAGUGCGGCAGGAGGGGGAUGGAAUUCCGCGUGUAGCAGUGAAAUGCGUAGAUAUGCGGAGGAACACCGAUGGCGAAGGCAAUCCCCUGGGCCUGCACUGACGCUCAUGCACGAAAGCGUGGGGAGCAAACAGG